AACGAACGCUGGCGGCAGGCCUAACACAUGCAAGUCGAACGCUCCGCAAGGGGAGUGGCGCACGGGUGAGUAACACGUGGGAACCUACCUUCUGGUACGGAACAACCAAGGGAAACUUUGGCUAAGACCGUAUACGACCUCCGGGUGAAAGAUUGAUCGCCGGAAGAGGGGCCCGCGUCCGAUUAGGUAGUUGGUGAGGUAACGGCUCACCAAGCCUUCGAUCGGUAGCUGGUCUGAGAGGAUGACCAGCCACACUGGGACUGAGACACGGCCCAGACUCCUACGGGAGGCAGCAGUGGGGAAUAUUGGACAAUGGGCGCAAGCCUGAUCCAGCCAUGCCGCGUGAGUGAUGAAGGCCUUCGGUUGUAAGUACUC
rnacentral:rRNA from 1 species